AACAGAUGAGGGAGCCAUUUUUCUGCAAUGGAAUUAAAUGGCCAAGUGGGUUUUUCCUUUGUUGCAAAUGGGGAAUGCUUUUCAAACUUUGACUCCACCAUCCAGUUCAGGACGCCUGAGUGUGUUUUAACAUUUGCCAAAGGACUCACACUUGGAAGAAUGAAGAAGACCUUUUAAAAAGAUCUGGAUUUUUCCUUAUGACUUGGAAUCCAUCUUUGUCUUGUAUAACUAGGUCAUAGCACACUAUUAAUGUCAGCAGUUAACAGUUUUGAAUUCAAAAAAACCUAAAGCAGUAAACAGUCCUCAGCGAAGCCGCCUUUUUGCCAGCCCAACCCUGGAAAGUUUGCAGUCGUGGAAGGAGCAGAAAUACCACGAGUGUAACUUACAAAGAAGGUCUUGGCCGGAGACCGGAGCAAU
rnacentral:lncRNA from 1 species